rnacentral:rRNA from 1 species
AACAUUUCACAACACGAGCUGACGACAGCCAUGCAGCACCUGUCUCAGCGUUCCCGAAGGCACCAAUCCAUCUCUGGAAAGUUCGCUGGAUGUCAAGAGUAGGUAAGGUUCUUCGCGUUGCAUCGAAUUAAACCACAUGCUCCACCGCUUGUGCGGGCCCCCGUCAAUUCAUUUGAGUUUUAACCUUGCGGCCGUACUCCCCAGGCGGUCAACUUAAUGCGUUAGCUGCGCCACUAAAAUCUCAAGGAUUCCAACGGCUAGUUGACAUCGUUUACGGCGUGGACUACCAGGGUAUCUAAUCCUGUUUGCUCCCCACGCUUUCGCACCUCAGUGUCAGUAUCAGUCCAGGUGGUCGCCUUCGCCACUGGUGUUCCUUCCUAUAUCUACGCAUUUCACCGCUACACAGGAAAUUCCACCACCCUCUACUGUACUCUAGCUUGCCAGUUUUGGAUGCAGUUCCCAGGUUGAGCCCGGGGCUUUCACAUCCAACUUAACAAACCACCUACGCGCGCUUUACGCCCAGUAAUUCCGAUUAACGCUUGCACCCUCUGUAUUACCGCGGCUGCUGGCACAGAGUUAGCCGGUGCUUAUUCUGUCGGUAACGUCAAAACAGCAAGGUAUUCGCUUACUGCCCUUCCUCCCAACUUAAAGUGCUUUACAAUCCGAAGACCUUCUUCACACACGCGGCAUGGCUGGAUCAGGCUUUCGCCCAUUGUCCAAUAUUCCCCACUGCUGCCUCCCGUAGGAGUCUGGACCGUGUCUCAGUUCCAGUGUGACUGAUCAUCCUCUCAGACCAGUUACGGAUCGUCGCCUUGGUGAGCCAUUACCCCACCAACUAGCUAAUCCGACCUAGGCUCAUCUGAUAGCGCAAGGCCCGAAGGUCCCCUGCUUUCUCCCGUAGGACGUUAUGCGGUAUUAGCUACCGUUUCCAGUAGUUAUCCCCCUCCAUCAGGCAGUUUCCCAGACAUUACUCACCCGUCCGCCGCUCGUCACCCAGAGAGCAAGCUCUCUUGUGCUACCGCUC